AAUGUUUUUUUCAGCUGGAAAUAAAUAUCAACACGUUUUACUUUUAAUGUCUUUAAUUAAAAAUGUCUUCUAACUAGUAUAUUAGUUUCAAAAAAUAUACUAGAUACAAAAUUAAAUGCAGUAGCAUUUAAAUCUGUUUUGAAUAUAUAUAUGUAUAUAUACAUAUAUAAAUGGUUGAAAAUAUUUUUACAUAUGUUAUUUAAUAGUCCCAACAAAUAUCUCGUCUCAGAGAACCAGGAUUUUUCCAGUCUUUUUAAUUCUAUUUCUGUUUCCUCUCUUAUUUCCCUUACACCUAUUUACAAGUAGUGUCUAUACAUAUAGAAAUAGAAAAAGUAUUAAAAAAUCAGCUGUGCACUUAAAAUCCGCGAAUCAAUAAUAAAUGACGGAUUACUACGUGCACAAAUGUUGUUCUUGGUCUUGGGCGAAUGUGUGAGAUAUUAUUAUACUAAACCACGAUACUAUUUUACCUACCGAAUUUCUGGAAGAGCCAAUGAGGACGCCGAUUCUCAGAUCGAGUGACUUAAACCCUGAUUGGCUCUUGCAAGCAAUCCUGUGGGCAAAAUAGUAUGUGCCGUGUGUUGGCUCUAGUUGUCGGUGAUCCCUCGAGGUAGGAAAAUUGCGCUUAUACAUAUAACAAAAAUGAUAUUUUUAGAACUUCCUACGUAAACGAAAAGGAAAGUAAAACGUGAGUAAAUGUUAACAUGGUUGAAAUAAUAUUAAAGAAUUACCUAAAUUAUUUUAAAUUCGUGGAAAAAUUAGUUUCACCCUGAAAUGACCCCGUCAUCUUAACUCUAUUAAGGUGGUUGGCCCAGUAAUCGUCAAGGUACCAGUAAUCGCUAUGUUCACGCAUUAACGAUAUAAAAUAACGUUUUCUGUCGAUCGUUCGGCUUGUUGACAUUUUUGUUGGUCCUAAAGAGGUUAAACUACACCGAUUGACAUCUUGUGUAAUCUUGCGAUAUCCGACGACUCGCAUGAGAAUGUAUAAGGAGACCGAACUGCCCGUAAUCAGAAUGGGCCGACGAUUGUGCCCGCCAGACGUUCUGAAAAGCAACACUGGGAGCGCUGUCAUCAACUAACUCCAUUCGCAUUCGUACGUGACACAUGGUUGUCAUAUGCAUGAAGGUUCGUGGUUAUAUUAAUGAUAGAGUACGAGAGGUUAGGAAAAACAUAUAUUUUGGGUAUACAGUAACAAUAUUUAUACAGAACAGUUCUGUACCUACACGGCAACCAUGAACAUCGAGAGAUGCGACUUGUCAUUGUCUAAUCGGUCCUAAUGGCAUCUAACCACAUAUGUCAUACGCUGAUUUGUACACUUGAAGAGGGCCAAAACCAAUGGCCGAAACGUAGUGAGAAAAUAAAGGAUUUUUCCUGUAACCAUGCAGUCGUGUCGGAUUAUUCACCUGAUUGUUAAUAUAUGAGCAUAAGAUUAAUUCUACUCUA